AAAAACAUUUCUUAUAUUAUUUCUAUAAGUAUAAUCUGCUCAAUGAAAAUAAAUAGCCGCAGAAAUUUAACUGUGCUAAGGUAGCAUAAUCAUUUACCUUUUAAUUAAAGGUCUGUAUGAAAGAUUAAACACUUAAAUAACUUUUUUAUUAAACCCCAUUUAAUUUAAAUUAAAAAUAAAAAUGUUUUUAUAAAAAAAAAAGACGAUAAGACCCUAUUGAACUUUACUUAAGUUAAGCUGGGGAAGCUAAUUAAAUAUAAUUUUAAUUUCAAUGAAACUCCUAAUAAAAUUAAAAAUCAAUAAGUUACCAUAGGGAUAACAGCGUAAUAAAUUUUUAAAGCUCUUAUUAAAAAAUAAGCUUUCGACCUCGAUCCG
rnacentral:rRNA from 1 species